rnacentral:rRNA from 1 species
GGUGACGUUGAGCAAAUCCCAGAAAUAACGUCCCAGUUCGGAUUGUAGUCUGCAACCCGACUACAUGAAGCUGGAAUCGCUAGUAAUCGCGAAUCAGAAUGUCGCGGUGAAUACGUUCCCGGGUCUUGUACACACCGCCCGUCACACCAUGGGAGUCGGAAAUGCCCGAAGUCAGUGACCCAACCGUAAGGAGGGAGCUGCCGAAGGUGGAGCCGGUAACUGGGGUGAAGUCGUAACAAGGUAUC